CCAACUGGUCCCCAUGUCUGUACUCCUAACUACUAUACCAUCCUGUCUCUCUUAGCCCCUCUCAUCCCCAAGUUUCUCCAGCAGAGACACAUUAGCCCCCCCUUUAUCUACAGGGGAUCUGUUCCAAGACCCCUAAUCGAUGCCUGAAACUGCAGAUAGUACUGAACUCACUGUAUUAUGUUUUUUCCUAUAGAAGCAUUUCUCUGAUAGAGUUUAACGUGUACAUUAAGCACAGUAAGAGAUGAACAACAACAAAUGAUGGAACAAUCUUCACAAUAUGCUGUAAUGAAAGUUGUGUGAAUGUGGUCUCUCUUUCCGUCUCAAAAUAUCUUACUGUGCUGUACUCCCCCUUCUUGUGAUGAUGGGGGGAGAUGAUAAAAUUCCUGCGUGAGCAGAUGAAGUGAGGUGAGUGACCGCGUUGUGACAUAAUGUUAGGCUCUUACUGUCUUCUGCUGAUACAUCAGGAGGAGGAUCAUCUGUUCCUGGAUCACAGUUGACCAUGGGAAGCAAAGCCACAGAGAAGGGGGGACAACUAUAUAGAUUUGUUUUUUCUCCCUUUAGUGAUCUCUCUUUUGCUCGCAGUCCCUCAAACCCUGUAUUCCUGGAGAAAGUUUUCCAUGAACUUUGCUUACCGAAAACAACUUCUAGUAGAUGCCAGCGGAGAUGACUACAGAGGAUAGAAUGGGGGCUUUCCGGACACCACCUUGGCCAGUGCCCAGGAGUUGCUUCAGUCCCACCCACCAGGGACUCCAUUCCAGCCUCAGCUUGGAUCCCUCCAGGGACAGAGUAGCCCUGAAUUUCCACCCACUGGGAGCAGCCCUAACCCAGGAUCUCCUCUUUCAGGGCCAAACAUAGACUGGAACACUAAGAAGGAACCAACAGGCCACCUUCCUCUCUUUCUCUCAUUAAAUUGUGAAUAAUAAUGCA